AUGGCUUUCUCUAAGCUUCUAGCUGCUUCACUUCUGGCAUCACUUCUCCUUCUCCAUUUUGUUGAUGCAGCAGAUCAAUCGGAGCAUGCAAAAACACAAGGUUCUCUUCUUCAGCAAAUAGAUUGUAAUGGAUCAUGUGUUGCAAGAUGCCGUUUAUCAUCUCGACCAAGAUUGUGUCAAAGAGCAUGUAGGACAUGUUGUAGAAGAUGUAACUGCGUGCCACCUGGUACUGCUGGAAACCAAGAAAAGUGUCCUUGUUAUGCCAGCUUGACUACUCAUGGUGGCAAACGCAAGUGCCCAUAG
rnacentral:lncRNA from 1 species